rnacentral:sRNA from 1 species
AAAAGAAAGAAAGAAAGAAAGU